CAGCCGUAAACUAUGCGCGUUAGGUGUACUGGUGACCACGAGUCACCGAGGUGCCGAAGGGAAACCGUGAAACGUGCCGCCUGGGAAGUACGGUCGCAAGGCUGAAACUUAAGGAAUUGGCGGGGAGGCACCACAACGGGUGGAGCCUGCGGGUUUAAUUUGGACUCAACGCCGGAAUACUCACCGGAUAGGACAGACAUAUGAUAGUCGGGCUGAAGACUCUACUUGAUGAUCUGAGAGGAGGUGCAUGGCGUCAGUGACU
rnacentral:rRNA from 1 species